UAAAUACUCCCUCCGCCCGGAAUUACUUGUUGCAAAAAUGUAUAAAAAUGAAUGUAUCUAGAACUAAAAUACGUCUAGAUACACCCAUUUUUGCGACAAGUAAUUCGGGAUGGAGGGAGUAGUAA
rfam:Triticum aestivum genome assembly, contig: Triticum_aestivum_CS42_TGACv1_scaffold_094184_2AL